UACAACCUAUACUUAUAUAGUCAUUUAAUAAUAUUAAGUUAUUGUGAAUUGUAAUAAUUAAAUCUAUGCCAUAUUUUAUUGUAUAUAUUAUAUAGAUUAUCAAUAAUUAUUUAAAACUUUCUUAGAAAUAAUAUUAAAAAUAUAUCUUGCUUUAUAUUGCUUUAUUUAUUUUAUCUUUGAAAACACUAUUUUAUUCAAUAUGGAAAUUAUAUAACAAAAUAUAUAAUAUUUAAUUACUUAUUAUUUAAUAAAUCAAAACUUUACACCUUCUCAGAUCAUUGUCCCAUUUCGAAUUCUUUGCGAAUGUCUAGACUUUGUGACCUGCGCACUGUGAAUGUUGAUGUCACAAGCUCUAAACAAUGCAUUAAUUAUUUAGAUAAUGAAACUUUGACAGUAUUACAAAUUCGGGCAGAUAUAUUUGAUGCUAAAUUUUCUAUUCGUAAAAUUCCGUGUAAUUUUGUUUUCGAUGUUGAAGUGAAAACUAUUUUCUUAUUGAUGUAGUAUAUCGAUAGAAAAUAGUUUUUAAUUUAAAAUUUUCGUGAAACGGAUUGAAAAUAAACAUUAAAAGUGAUUUGUUUUUCUUUGAUGUUUGUAUUCGUGGCGUGUUUACAAUAAUCCCAUAAAGAAUUUUCCGUGUUUUAAUAUAAUAUUGUGUUGUGAAAAUUAUGGAUAACCGGAAAAUUCUUAACUACCAAGAUGGUGAUUUCCUCAUUUGUGAAUUGUUAUAGGUUCAUUCAAUUCCUUACUUGAUGACUCCUGAGUGUGUAUUUCCUGAUUUUGAAUAUCAGAUGACAUCCCAGUACAGGUAGGAGCAGUGCUAUUACUGGCUGACCAGCCCUCCAUGUCUGCAACUUCAACAUCGUAAGGUAUAAAUUUAUUAUUAUCUUCAGUAUACUUUUCAAUAAAAGUUAUGUCUCUAC